rnacentral:rRNA from 1 species
AGAGUUUGAUCAUGGCUCAGGAUGAACGCUAGCUACAGGCUUAACACAUGCAAGUCGAGGGGAAACGACAUCGAAAGCUUGCUUUUGAUGGGCGUCGACCGGCGCACGGGUGAGUAACGCGUAUCCAACCUGCCCAUCACUUGGGGAUAACCUUGCGAAAGUAGACUAAUACCCAAUGACGUCUCUAGAAGACAUCUGAAAGAGAUUAAAGAUUUAUCGGUGAUGGAUGGGGAUGCGUCUGAUUAGCUUGUUGGCGGGUAACGCCACCAAGGCGACGAUCAGUAGGGGUUCUGAGAGGAAGGUCCCCCANAUUGGAACUGAGACACGGUCCAAACUCCUACGGGAGCA